AUUGAACGCUGGCGGCAGGCCUAACACAUGCAAGUCGAGCGGAGCGGCGGUCGGGUGAGUAAUGCUUAGGAAUCUGCCUGGUAGUGGGGGAUAACGUCCGGAACCGGGCGCUAAUACUGCAUACUAUCAGAUUAGCCUAGGUCGGAUUAGCUAGUUGGUGGGGUAAAGGCCUACCAAGGCGACGACCCGUAACUGGGCUGAGAGGAUGAUCAGUCACACUGGAACUGAGACACGGUCCAGACUCCUACGGGAGGCAGCAGUGGGGAAUAUUGGACAAUGGGCGAAAGCCUGAUCCAGCCAUGCCGCGUGUGUGAAGAAGGUCUUCGGAUUGUAAAGCACUUUAAGUUGGGAGGCGUUACCAACAGAAUAAGCACCGGCUAACUUCGUGCCAGCAGCCGCGGUAAUUC
rnacentral:rRNA from 1 species